UACGUAGGGUGCAAGCGUUAAUCGGAAUUACUGGGCGUAAAGCGCGUGUAGGCGGCUAUGCAAGUCGGAUGUGAAAGCCCUGGCUCAACUGGGGAAGUGCACCCGAAACUGAGUGGCUUGAGUACUAAAGAGGGUCGCGGAAUUCCCGGUGUAGAGGUGAAAUUCGUAGAUAUCGGGAGGAACACCGGUGGCGAAGGCGGCGAACCUGGGUAGAUACUGACGCUGAGGCGCGAAAGCGUGGGAGCAACAGG
rnacentral:rRNA from 1 species